rfam:Drosophila persimilis strain MSH-3 cont1.021654, whole genome shotgun sequence.
AGUAUAGGGGCGAAAGACCAAUCGAACCAUCUAGUAGCUGGUUCCUUCCGAAGUCUCCCUCAGGAUAGCUGGUGCAUUUUAAUGUUAUAUAAAAUAAUCUUAUCUGGUAGAGCGAAUGAUUAGAGGCCUUAGGGUCGAAACGAUCUUAACCCUAUUCUCAAACUUUAAAUGGGUAAGAACCUUAACUUUUCUUGAUAUGAAGUUUAAGGUUGUGAUAUAAGGUGCCCAGUGGGCCACUUUUUGUACGCAGAACUGGCGCUGUGUGAUGAACCAAACGUAAUGUUACGGUGGCCAAAUUAACAACUCAUGCAGAAGCCGUGAAAGGCGUUGGUCGCUUACGACAGCAGGACGGUGAUCAUGGAAGUCGAACUCCGCUAAGGAGUGUGUACUCAUUAACCUGCCGUGACUAUUUAGCCCUUCAAAAGCUGCGCUUUAGUGGUAUUCCCUAUACAUUACCGCUAAAGUAGAUGAUUUAUAUUACUCGUGAUAUAAAUUUUGAAACUGUAGUGAGUAGGAAGGUACAAUGGUAUUUAUUUAUUUAUUAAAUUAAAAAAUUAUCUGUUAAUA